GUCAGAUUUCAUAUGGCCCGCGACAUCGGUCAUAUAAUGUGUUAUUUGUGGCCCGCCAGAUCUGUCAGAAUAAAUAAAUCAUAAAAACUUGAAAGACGUAAUUCCUCCUUUCUAAUGUAUCUGGCUCUGCAUCCGUGGCGUGAACCCUUCUCGAAACCUAUUUGCCAUGGCGACGGCAAAAAAAAGGAGAAAAGUUGACAGUGAGGGCCGCCGCUUUCAGGAGCGGUGGGAAUUACGAGUGUUUCCCCUCCCAUGAGAACAGAGUGGGGGUCCGCCCCACUGACAUGUUCUCUAUAGCGCCAGAUUACAACAUAAGUAAUGUCAGGUUGUUUUAUUCAACUAAACGGUCGUAUUUUAUUGAUCGUAUCGACACAGCGGCAUGUCAUUUCUGUCUCUACGUGGUGGCAUUCACACUUCUCCUGGCUCUCGGUAUCUCGGCGGAGCUCCGCCCCCAUGCGCACAGACAGGUGCGCACAUACAGGUGAGCGCGCUCCAACCAGCCGGCAGAGAGCGUCCAAUAUGUCGCGGGAACAGCAAACCGACACCUCUGCGUUCCCACGGUGGUGAAGACACGUCGUCUCAGAGUAGCUCUCUGCUCCGGGUUCAAGAGCAGAGACGAGUUUACCACGGUGUUGCCAGGCGGUGGAGCAGCUCGCUUUCUUCUGCAAGAGAGCAGAAACCCCAGCAAAGGAUCAAUACCUCUGAAGAAACAAUACAGGGACGUGAUCUCACUCCUUUAUGUCUUCGUAGCCCUUCCUCUCCAGCCAGCGCAGCCUCAAAUGCAAUUUGCAGUCUCUAAAUGUACCGCUUUUUCCCCUCUCUCCUACAUUGCUCUAAUCUGUGUGCCUGAAUGCCACAGUUAAAACAAGAUGGGAGAAAUGAUCUCAGGGUAUCAAUCGUAAGAGAUGAAGCAAGCUCAUCUCCAAGGGAAAUGAACUCUGCGAAUGAGAGUCAUUCCCCUAAAUCUGAUACUCCUGUGGCUGUUGGACAUCACGCUGUGAUGAGUCCCUGUGAGGGAAGCCCUCUCCCUCAUCCACUUACCUCCGUCACUCUUCUAUAGUUCUUAGAAAAUCCUUUUUUUGUGUGUAAUCAUAAUCCCAUCAUUGCUAUUGAGACAGUUAAUGCAGCAAAAUGGCUCUUAAAG